UUGACCGCGCGUGAACCAAAUUGAGGGUAAAAGAAACGCGUUGGCGAAGUCGGUUCGGCAAUCCGACGAACCUACGCAAAGAUAUCGCCAAAAGAAGGUUUUCGGCUAUAGUUGCCGUUUUAUAUAGCAUUGAAAUGCUAACUUGUAAAUUAUGGGUCGACGACGCACUAAUUACGGUAGCGGCCUUUCUAGUCCUAUUUGCACGGAGUCGCGAGAGAUAGUCGUCGACGCUUUCCGAGACGUGGAUUCUAGUUGAUUGACACCACUACAGGUUCCAGUGCGAGUUUCGAGGCCGAGGAUCGUGGCAAGGGCC